rnacentral:tRNA from 1 species
CGGGGUGUAGCGCAGACCGGUAGCGCGCUUGCUUCGGGAGUAAGAGGUCGUGAGUUCGAAUCUCAUCACCCCGA